rnacentral:lncRNA from 1 species
AUGUUGUUGUACUUUUCAUUAUUUCCUCUCAAAAUUUUGGGAUGUAGCUUGUGGCAUCUAAUUCAGUAGUUCAUCAAGGUCAGUAUUUGCUAUGGAACAUCUCAGGGUCAAUCACCAUGGGUUCCAAUGGCUUUCACAACUGAACAAAUACUCGUCCCCUUCUAGUCAUGUUACCCAGGUCGUGCUGACAGCCUAAAUUUUGCUCCAUUUAAUAAUAAAACCAAAUCUUUGUUCACCUUAAUUCGUCUAAUUAUCCUUUCUUGAUUGCCUUGAGUUAUCAAAACUCUUAUGUGGACAGUGGUUCUAAUGCAUGGCUGUUAAAAACAUUGCAGGUAACAGUCGAAGAGAAGUCCUACCAUAAGUCAUGCUUCAAAUGCUCCCACGGGGGCUGCGCGAUUACACCUUCCAACUAUGCAGCCUUGGAGGGCAUCCUCUACUGCAAACACCAUUUCUCCCAACUUUUCAAGGAGAAGGGAAGCUACAACCACUUGAUCAAGUGCGCGUCCGUCAAGCGCGCUGCUGAAGCACAGCCAGAACAACCGGCCUCUGAUUCCUCCUCCUGACCACGCCAUUUAAACAGUGGGGGUUUGGAGGCGAGAGAGUUGGGAAGCCUCCUGUUUCUACUUAAAACCGCGUGAUGUAUGUUAUUCCAUCUAUGCCCCGAGGAUACUAGACUACUACUCUAUUUUGGUAUCCUCUGCUGUGCUAGCUGGAUCAUAUCAGCGAACCAUGGAAUUGCUGUCAUUUUCAAUGAAACUGUUGUGCAUCAAGUAGUGAAAUCUUCACUGAAAUCGGGUAUCUUGCCUUUAUUGAUCAAUAUAUUAUCUAUGUUGUUUUGUUGUCUUUAGUACUAUGCAAUCUGGUUUGGUAAAUGGUCAAACUAAAAGGUUCUUUUUGGUUGAGUUGGUUGAGUGAACUUUCUUUUCUCUAGAUAUAGGUCAAAAAGCGACCCAUUUUUGGGAGGUUUCUUUCUCCCAGAAAGGGAAAUUGAAGAAGCUAUCUCAGACAAGGGUUAAGGCUAUCUCCAGUAAACUUUAUAUGAUUGUGCAAAACACUGUAUUGUAAAUUGCAUUGUCUGUAGAGUGAAAUUUAAAAUAAAGUAUGCGAUAGGUUGAAGACUCAUCAUACUCACAAAGAUUUUUGAAGCACGAGCAUAAGCCUAACUACACUAUUAAUAUCUGACCUAUCAUACUCUCACAAAGAUUCUUCAAGCACGAACAUAAGCCGGCUGUAAAGUUUCCCUUGUUUCUCGUAAAUAUAAUAUAAAACGUACGUGCAUCUUAGACCGGCUCCAGCGAGAACCUAUAAAAGCUCUUGUCCUCUAAAUAUAAAAGCCCAUGUCCUUUAAAUAUAGAGGUUUGUCAGAUCCGUUAUCCCUCCAACAAAAGACUCUAAAAGGUCCUCUAAAAUUUAGAGGACGGCAUGCCUACGCUAUGUAUACAUGGUGUACGGUAGUUCUCUAUACACUACUGAUUCAUGUGUCUGCGUUCACGUGCUGACGAGCGGUAAUAAAUAAUAUAGAAUACCAAAUCUGGUAACACUGUUGAUAUAGAGGAUGAAAUUUAGAGAAUAUUACUGGAGAUGAAGAUAUAGAGUACAUAAUCUUUUAGAGAGUGAUGUAAAAUAUAGAGAAUAUUCUUUUAGAUGAUGAAAUUUAGGAGACGUUGCUGGAGACAGCCUUAUAUAACCUAUAUGUGUUUGGUUUGAGGUCAAAAAUAAUGGGAUAUGACCAUCUAUAGAUUUAGAGAUAUAGAUAUUCAUAUUGUCUGUUUGGUUAGAAUUUAGAUGAAUGGGACCAGCAACCGUGUAUAUGGCCACAUGGAACACUAUUUUAUAUUAUAGACUAUUAUUUACAACGUAGAAUUUGAAAUAUGAGAUAUAAUGAGUAAUGUUGUCGAAGAUAGCCUUAUAGAUGAAUCGCCAUCUUCAGUGAUAUUCAGGAAACCAAAUGCAUCCUUACACCAUCUUAUUAUGCUUGCUUAUAAUUCACGGUUUUAAAGUUGCUGACAUCGCCUAUAAUAUUUGUUUGCGCCACUCAGGUCAAAACAAAUAGAAAAGUCUAGAUUGCUUUUGUGUAUAUGUUCAUCCAUAUAGUCCUGUUAUCUUGUGCGCCAGAUAUUUCCACCUUUUAAUUCAAAAAGAUUUAAAAUCCCUUAUGCGGACUAACAUUAAAAUCAAUGGGGACUGCCUUAAAUCAUAAACGUACGGUACUGUCCACAGUGUAGACCUCGUAGACCAGGUUAUUAGGCAUUCAUCCCAUCUCGUCGAUCAUAUGAACUGGAAGGAACCAAACAUACAAGCUGUACUCAGGAUGACUGUAGUUGUCGAGCGUGUCCGAGAGUUUUUGUCUUCCUUCCAUGUACCAUGGCCUCUCCUUUAGCAGCUGCAAAUAAUUGUAGGGCCUCUGUCUUAUUGCUUUCAGAUUGGAAUCCAGGUGCUUCCAAUUUGUUUGGUACUCGCACUCUUUGUUUCUGGUUGCGAGCUUGAAUAGAUCACCAAGGAGCCACUAGAUCACUUGGCGUGCAAAAAAAUAAUCAAGGCAUUUGACUAAGAGAAACUCAUUGUGGAUAUAUUCAAAUUUCAUUGAACUUGUAGAGAAAAAGGCUUGUGACUGUACAAUAAAAUAGGCAUCAAUUCACAUUUAAUAUAAAAUAGUAUACUGAAAAAUGCAACCAAACAGCUGUAGCACUGUCUAUUAGGAAAUACAGUGUGAAUGUUAUGACAAAGACCAGCAACAAACAAAUAAUCAACAAUUAGGUAAAUGUAUUUGUUGACAGAGGCUCUACAUGAUGGUAGAUAGAAGUAUGCAUUAGCACGAAAGGAGUGGAGGAUAUAACCUAUGAAGCAAACAUGAACCUCAUGUAAAAUAAAGGGAACUUGUCACUAACAAAAUAAGAAGGUUCAGGUUAGCUGGUUACAGAUUCACCAAACAAAAUAUAUAUACAUAUAUAUUCAUACACUGCAAAGACAACUGUACUGAAGAUUAACUGCGAUCGGUGAAUGAUAAGCACUCAUUAAUGUGCCUUUUCUGGUUGAUAAUUUGACCUAUAUCAAACAGAAAAGUUGAUAAUUUUACCAAUGUGGUUUGCUUAUUAAAAGUGCACGGUCCAUGUACAUCUUCAGAAAUCAGCACAUUUACCCGGUCCAUGUACAUCUUCAGAAAUCAGCACAUUUACCUGUUGGACUUGUUGGUGUAAUGUGUCAAACUGAUCUACAUUACAACAGACAUCGCCAGUGAUUGUUGGGCACAAACUUUGGAUCCUUGAAGAAAACAAUGUGUCUGGCUGGAAAAACAAUAAAACACUUGCUAAACAGGCCACAUUUGAAUAAUCAUAAAUAUUUUUUCAAAGAUAAGGGUUUCUUUAACUAUGUUAUAUUCAAAUCAAGGUCCAAGGAUCAUAUUGUCAGUUUGUCACCUUAACAGCUUUGGUUGCAUUUGCACAGUUUAAGACCUUCCCGUCGCUUCGUUGUGCACAAAUGUCGUACAUGGAACAGUAACCUUCUGCUGGUACAACCCUACAAAAGCAAAAUGGUAAGAUAGAUGACCACCAAGGGCUCUAGGAAUAUGGAACACCAAGUAUAGGCAUGUAAAAUAGUAAAGUACAACAGCAUAUUCUAGAAGCAAUCAAGCAUAUGUUAGACUUUUGAGCUACAAUCAGUAUAACACAGGUCACUGACAAGUUACCUUGAGCCAUUGGAUUGCUGCGCACUGAUCGGGAACACUAGAUAAUUGAUCUGCACCAUAGUAAAAAUAAGUUAGAUGUUAUUUAGACCACCCGAAUCACAGUGAAGUUCGACCAUAUCAACACGCUUGUACAAUGUACUUCUAUCUAUAUGAUAGCCUACUUACACACUAUACAUGAUCCAAAUUAAAUAUUGUUUUCGCUCCAUAUACACAUAACGGAAAAGUAAAGUGACAUCUUAGGUAUCAGCAUAGUUUACCCUUAUUAAAUGCAUACUCUCUCUUUCACCCCUGUAAAUAAACAGAAACUACUAGCAGUGUUUGCAGGAAAAUACAUGGGAUGUGAUUGGGUGAUACUGUUAUGGUUUCAAAUCCUCGGGGGGGGGGGUAUGAUCAUAAUUUAAUCCACAUACUUCAGAAAUAUAGUCUAGAAAUCAAUUUGCAUAGCUAAAAUUAAAAGGUCAAUGCAGACACCGCCGAGUCAGCAGAAACUAUAACCUAGCAAAUUCUGAAUAGCUUGCAAUUGGAAUACAAUUGUUGGCUUAUUGGGCACAUGAAUGCAAUUAAUUCUCAAGGUCGAAAUGCGGAAAACAUGUGGAAACAGAUUAAUUAUACAAUGGAAGUUCCAUGUGAAACCUGCAAAAGAGAUAGUUCAACUAAGGAACAUCACGACACGAAUUGCAAAGUUUCAAGGUUCCAAUCCUGUACAAGGACAAUUACAGCAACAAAUUACAUUACAUCUCAUAACAAGAAUCGAAGUUGACCAUCCAACUCUAAAGAAGCAGAUUCCCUUCAAAUCAAUAUGUGAUAAAAGGGGGGAAAUCAGAAGAAGAAAAAUUACAACAAACCCGUAAGAUAUAUCCUGAUAGCAUGCAUUUCAAAGCAAAAAUAAAAUAAAAACGGAGAGUUAUGACGAAGGAGGCAAGCAUAGCUUACUAUAACCCAAACAGUGAACAAAAAAAAUUAACCAACUAUGCCGAACUAAACUCCGCCGGCUUCAACUAAAAUCGAACUAAAUUGUUGACCCAACCGAGGAAUUAAUGUAUACCAAUCUGAUUCCUCUAGAUCAAACAUAUUCAUGAUCUCCUGCUUGCCUCAGAAUCUGAAGACCACAGAGAAGCAGAUGAACUUUCAGAUAAAGAGCUGUAAGACUUGUCCAUUGUUUUACUCCUGGUGGUAUCUGCUGGUUCAGUCUCAGCGAUAGUAUCCAUCAGUAAGUGCUGUAAGACUUGUCCAUUGUUUUCCAAACAUCCAACUUCCACUUCCUGCCUGAAAGCCAAUAUGGACUCAUUCACUAGGUUCCAAACCCAUUUUUCUUCCCCCCGUCACACUCACAGUUUGAGCUGUGCUGAUCAUUGUAAUGCUUAUCAUUCCAUGCAUCAUCAAGCAAGGCUGAUGCAGUCCCUGCUUCACUGAACUUCUCUGGUUCCUUGAUACAUCUAUUCUCAAGAGAUGCUAUGCUGCUCAUGCGCUCACCUGCUUCAGCGGCUGCUGCAGUUUAGCCAUUUGCCACUAUUGAGUUUUCAGCAGGUGUACAAUCUACAAGUUGGUGCAGUUUUUAUCACGAGCCUACAGCAGGCCAGAGUUCUUUGGAUAUGCAAAUUGUAUCGAACACAAGACUUUAUUUAGAUCCAAACAAUUCAAAACCACAAUAUCGAUACACUGCUCAUUGCGGCAGACAAAGCUGACCACCUAGAGCUGUUUAUUGCAAAUAUAAGCAUGUGGCACAUUACAAUAGCACAGGUUAUGUAGCAUAAAUAAUUAGGCUUGGCUGCUUCACAAGAUAACCAGUGGCAGCAACUCUGAAUCUGAUCUCUCGUCGACCGCAUCAGCAUUUCAUCUUCUUUACCUCUCUUUCCUCGCUCUCAUCCACAGCAUCAGCUUCACAGCAGGGAGCAUCACUCUCUGAGCGAUUCUUGACAAUGUCACCAGUGAAGUCCUACCAUAAGUCAUGCUUAUGUGGACAGUGGUUCUAAUGCAUGGCUGUUAAAAACAUUGCAGGUAACAGUCGAAGAGAAGUCCUACCAUAAGUCAUGCUUCAAAUGCUCCCACGGGGGCUGCGCGAUUACACCUUCCAACUAUGCAGCCUUGGAGGGCAUCCUCUACUGCAAACACCAUUUCUCCCAACUUUUCAAGGAGAAGGGAAGCUACAACCACUUGAUCAAGUGCGCGUCCGUCAAGCGCGCUGCUGAAGCACAGCCAGAACAACCGGCCUCUGAUUCCUCCUCCUGACCACGCCAUUUAAACAGUGGGGGUUUGGAGGCGAGAGAGUUGGGAAGCCUCCUGUUUCUACUUAAAACCGCGUGAUGUAUGUUAUUCCAUCUAUGCCCCGAGGAUACUAGACUACUACUCUAUUUUGGUAUCCUCUGCUGUGCUAGCUGGAUCAUAUCAGCGAACCAUGGAAUUGCUGUCAUUUUCAAUGAAACUGUUGUGCAUCAAGUAGUGAAAUCUUCACUGAAAUCGGGUAUCUUGCCUUUAUUGAUCAAUAUAUUAUCUAUGUUGUUUUGUUGUCUUUAGUACUAUGCAAUCUGGUUUGGUAAAUGGUCAAACUAAAAGGUUCUUUUUGGUUGAGUUGGUUGAGUGAACUUUCUUUUCUCUAGAUAUAGG